AAGAGAGAGAAGAAGGAAGAUUGAUCGUGGAUUCUCUUAGAUCAAAUUAGAUCGAAUGAUACGGGAGAGAAAAUGGGACGUAUUUAUAGAAAAACAUAGAGAUUAAGAUCAGGAUAUCCAUAAUAGAUAUCCACUAGGAGAUAUAUUUCUUAACUAAUAAGAAACAUAUAAUCCAUCCUUAUCCUUAACUUAUUAGGAUAAAUCCCAAUCCAUAUUUUAUGUGGAUCGGGUUAAAUUAAGACCUGCCAAUGUGGAUACACCACAUCGCAACAGAGAGAAAAUAAGGAGAGAAAAAGUAAAGAGAGAGUAAAGUGAGAAGAGAAAUGUGAGAAGAGAAACUAAGAAAAGGGAUAAAAAAAAUUAAGUGAAGAGAGAAAGUAGGAUAAGAAAGUGAAGAGAGAGAGAGAGAGAAACUAGGAGAAAGAAAGUAAAGAGAGAAAAGUAGGAGAGAAAAAGUGAAGAGAGAAACUAGGAGAGAAAAAGUAAAAAGAGAGAAUGAUAGAGAAAGGAAAAAGAAAUUAGAGAAAAAGAAAGAAAAGAGUGAGGAGACAGAAAAUAAAGAGAAAGAAAGUGAGGAGAGACAAUCAAAAGAAUAAUUGGUUC
rnacentral:lncRNA from 1 species